AUCAAAGCGGCCCUACAUAUAGCGACCCCACAUAUAGUAACACUUUUAAAUAUAUCGAUAAUUUAGCCAGCAGUACUUUUUUUUUAUCUGUAUCGACAGUAUCGCUAUAUUCCAUUUUUGUUGUAGUAAUAUAUAGAAUUGAGCUAGAAUACUUUUAGAAGCACCAAUCCCUUGGUGCUUCUAAAUUUCUAGCCCUUGGAUCUACUCCUUGAUUACUGAUAGCCUUUGGAUCAAACACUAUUCCACCUACCACCACCUACCACCAUCAUUUCAACCUCACAUCCUUUCAUCUAAUGGCUAAAAACUCAAAAGCACCACCUUCAUGGUGCUUUUGAGAGUAUUCUAGCUCGCUCUCUCUCUCUCUCUCUCUCUCUCUCUCUCUCUCUCUCUCUAUAUAUAUAUAUAUAGUGUAGAGCUACUAUACUAUCGGAAGUAUAAAAUAGUUGGUACUUCUGAUUUUUUAGCCCUUGGAUCAAAAAUUCUACAGUUGGGAUGAUAGCGGUUCCUUUAGGAUUGAGUGGUCCCCCUAGGGUUAAGUGGUCCCCAUUGGUUAAUAAUAUUAAUCCAAUGGUUAGAAAUGAUCAAUAUAGUUGAUCUAAGGGCUAAAAAAUCGAAAGCACCAACUACUUUAUGCUUCCGAUAGCAUAGUAGCUCUACUCUCUCUCUCUCUCUCUCUCUCUCUCUAUAUAUAUAUAUAUAUAUAUAUAUAUAUAUAUAUAUAUAAGGGAAAACUUCCAAAAACCCCCAUGUGAUUUCGUAGUUUCUCACUUAGCCUCCCUGUGGUUUAAAAUGUAUCAAUUUGCCCCCAUGUGGUUUCUGUUUUCUCUUUUUCUUAUCAACUUCAUUUUUUUUUUCCUUAAAUCAGUGACAAAGUUAAAAUUAAAGGGUACUAAAGUGAAUAUUUGAUAAGUCUAGAUGGGUAUCUGAAGUUUUUUGUAUAUAAUUUAAUGAAAUAUUAACGAAAAAGCUACCGAAAAGAUAAAAACGAAACCACAGGGGGCAAAUUGAUACAUUUAAACUACAGGGUACUAAAGUGAGAAACUACGAAACCACAUGGGGUUUUUGAAGUUUUCCCUAUAUAAAAUGUAGAGCUGGAAUGCUAUCGAUAGCAAACGGGCUUCGUUGCCACCCAUUUAUUUUCGAUGAUGGAGCCUUCAAAUUGACAAUCGGCACCGUUGAACAUGAUCUAUAUCACUUGAAGUAUCUAAAAACCAAAUUUUAAAUCUUUUCAACAUCAUUGACCUAAUGAUCAAAGGGUUUCAAAAUUUGUAAUUUUAUAUGGUCGAUAUGAGACGUUUUCUCGUUUAACGGUGUAAAGCUAUCCAAAUUAAUUGAAUUUUAGGUAGAAAAUUCUUUAAACUAUUUAGAACAAAAUCUAUACUCUCGAUCUUGAUUACAAAAUUCCUAUCAUCACUUUUUAGAGGAUAUUCAUUUUCAGCCGUUAAUUUUUACGCCCACUUGAUGAACAAGAGAACAAUAUCGGAAAAGCAUGAAAUUUGAUUUAUAGAUACUUCAAGUGGUAUAGAUCAUUUUCAACGUACCGAUCGUUAUUUGAGGCUCCAUCGAAGAAAACAAAUGAGUGCAACGGAGCCCGUUUGCUACCGGAUUUCCUAGCUACUAAUAUAUAAUAUAUAUAUAUAUAUAUAUAUAUAUAUAUAUAAUAUUAUUAAUAUGCUAGGUACUAUCCCUUAAGAGAUAGUAGCAACUGUCCUAUCAUAUCAAGUUGUUCUUGAUGAUAGAGAUUCCGAAUCGAUGAUCGGAACAUUGAAGUUGAUCUAGAAUAUUUGAAAUAUCUAGAAACUAAAUUUAUAAAUUUUAAAAUUAUUUACAUGGUGAUCAAAUUGUCGUAAAAUCGACAAUUUUGAUGGCCAAUAUAAGCUGUUUGCUGUUUAACGUGUAGAGCAAUCCAAAUUGCUUGAAUUUUGAUAGAAAAUUCUUUAUUUUAUUUAGAUAAUGUUUGAAAACUCUAAUUAUCAAUUGAGAAAAUCUACCUCUAUUUUAAGAAGGUUAUUCAUUUAUACCGUUCAUUUUUUAAACUCUUCGUGAACUUGAUAAUAAUUUUUAAAUAUUACAAAAUUUGAUUUCUAAAUGUUUCUAAUUGUGUAAUCAAUUACAACGUGCCGAUUAUUAAUUUGAAGUUCCGAUCAUUCAAAACGACUGAUAGAAAUAUCCUCAAUCCUAUUAAUAGGAUAGUAGAUGAACUGUAUAUAAGAGUUGAGCUAGAAUACUCUCAAAAGCACCAUGAAGGUGGUGCUUUUAAGUUUUUAGCCAUUGGAUGAAGAUAUAUGAGAGUUGAGAAAUGGUGGUAGGUGGUGGUUGGUGGUGGUAGGUGAAAUAGUGUUUGAUCAAAGCUAUUAGUAAUCAAGAAGUGAUCAAAGGCUAGAAACUUAGAAGCGCAUCAAGAGGUUGGUGCUUCUAAAGUAUUCUAGCUCAAUUCGUGUGAUAUAGUAUAUAUAUAUAUAUAUAUAUAUAGAGAGAGAGAGAGAGAGAGAGAGAGAGAGAGAGUUGACCUAGAAUACUUGCAAAAGUAUUAUGUGAGUGGUGCUUUUGAGUUUUUAGCCAUUGGAUGGAGAGAUAUGAGGUUGAGAUGAUGAUGGUAGGUAGUGGUAGAUGGAAUAGUGUUUAAUCCAAAGACUAUUAGUAAUCAAGGAGUAGAUCCAAUAGCUAAAAACCUAAUAGCAUCAUGCGAGUAAUACUUGUAAAAAUAUUCUAACUCAAUUAUAUAUAUAUAUAUAUAUUCCCUGUUAACCACAGUAAGAUGUUCACACGGCAAAACACAAACUAUAGUACUAAAAUAAUUACUUAAUUACAUACUAAUUUUCACAAAAUCAUUUGCCAAACAACCAAAAUCUAAAUAAAUUAAUUAGCAAACACUUCAAAAGCACUUCUUUAUGUUUCCUUUCUAUAUAGCUCGUACAUUAUGCAUAAUUAGUAGAACUAGUUGAUGAGUUUAAUUCCCCCUUUGUUUAAACAACUAAUAAUUAAGCUCCACAUAAAAACACUCAUCCAGCUAACUCAGAAAAAUAAAAAAGCUACAACAUUAAUACAAGUACUCAACAAGAAAUAAAUGUUCUAGCUAGAAAUAAUAACACAAAAUACAUAAAUACUAGCUUAAGUGCAUACAUACACACUUGGAUACAUUGAACAUAAUCAUAAAUACGAGAGGUGCGACCACUACUAGAAGAUGUUCGUAAUCGGUCUUGAGCACACAUCGAUCGUUAGCGACCGUACGUACUUCAUUAUUAUUCACUAACUAGUUUAAGGCCCGAAGCGGUAGAGUCCGUCGUUGACGAAGUGGCCAUCCAUGUAGAGAGCGGCGGCGGCAGCGGCAGCAGCAUUCGGCGGGUGGUAGCCGUCCAUCAUGACGAACUGCAUCUCAUCGGACGGCUUCCAGUGGCGCUUCCUUUGGUUGAUGAACCAGUUGUUGAUCUGCUUCAGAUCAAGCCCCGUGGAUUCGGCUAACGCCACCUUUUGCGUCUCCUGCGUGUUUGUUAUCGAUCGCAUGAAUGAGUUAUACAAAGUACCUUGUUACAUGAUCACAUGAAUGAGCAUACAAAGUACCUAGCUACAAAUUCUCGGUUAAAAAUUAUGGUCCUUAAACAUUCGUGAUAUUGCAGAACAUACCUGAGGCAGGCCUAUGCCGCGUUAAGAGAGAAAAUGCACGAGGACGGAAAGAAAGAUGCACGAAGAACACAAUUCUUUGACAAAACGAAAAUAUUAUUAAUCAACUCUAAAGCUUAUUACAGUAACUAAACGCCAUGUAUAUAUAUAGGGUCGAUAUCCGAAUUUACUAUAAUUGAAGGUGAUAAGCUCUAAUAUAUCUCUAAACCUAAACCGAUGAGAAAUAACAAAAUAAUCGGACUCAAAAUAGAAAAAAUAUAAAACCUUUUGAAAAUAACCUAAAAAUGCAAAAAUAGAGGCCGAAACAGUUGAAUUUGAGCCCUAAACUCAGCCGGAACUACUUUGUUGUUCGACGCAUAGAUCUCGAAAAGUGUUUUCCGAAUUGGGGUUGCAUGUUGAAAUCGGACACUCGAGCGAAAAGUGAUGGCCGUUUAAAAAUUUUCCGCGCCGAUUGUAAAAUUGCCGAACUAAACAGAAUUUUUGGCCCUGCUUAAUUGGGUCACGCUUUUCCAGAAACUCUACCACUAACUUGGCUGCAUCACUAUCCAAACUAUGGCCCGCUUUGAUCUAUCUAACCUCUUAAUUUGUUUAAUUUGAGCAAUUUGAUAACUCUUAAACUUUAAAAUUUGCACAUCUCAUUUACUCUAACAAUUAGUGUGUGAGAUUAUUUCAAGUGACUACAUUUUCAUAAAACAAGUGUUAAUUCACAUCCAAUUAUAUAGAAGUGUUGUUGAAUGGUUCAAUUCAAACAAAUUGAUGAGUUAGGUAUAAAAAAUCAAAACUUAAUUACUUAUAUUUUGAAAUUAGAUUACUAACUACAAUUUGCCAAACGAAACUCCGACAUUCAUCACUCACAUGACCAUAAACCCCUCUCCCUAAAAUAUCUUACCAUUUCACUUCACUCGAAACAAGAUUAAAACGAUUUUUUCACAAGCAGGAGGAAGGCGUAGAACACGCAACUCAAUAGCCGUCGAUGGCAUGUAGUAUAUUAUGCAAGAGUUUCAUGUACUAUAAUAUAAGUUGACGAACAAUAUCGAUGUUGAACAUAAGAACACUAACCAAGGCAUGAGGCAGGAUAUGAUGCAAGAGUUUCAUGCACUAUAAUCUAAGUCGACGGACGAUAUCAACGUUGAACAUAAAACACUAACCGAGGGAUAAGCCAGUAUAUUAUGCAAGAGUUUCAUGGACUAUAAUCUGAGUCCACAAACGAUAUCAACGUUGAACAUAAAAACACUAACCGAGGGAUAAGCCAGUAUAUUACGCAAGAGUUUCGUGGACUAUGAUAUAAGUUGACGGAUGAUACCAAUGUUGAACAUAAAAACACUUACCGAGGGAUAAGGCAGUAUCCUAUGCAAGAGUUUCGUGGACUAUGUUAUAAGUCGACGGAUGAUACCAAUGUUGAACAUAAAAACACUUACUGAGGGAUAAGGCAGUAUCCUAUGCAAGAGUUUCACGGACUAUGAUAGAAGUCGACCGAUGAUAUCAAUGUUGAUAACAUAAAGACACUAACCGAGGGAUAGGGCCAUUUGUAGUGGAGUUCCCACCAGUUGAGCAGCUGUUGGCGUGCGUCCUUGGGGAGCUUGCCUUUCUUCUUUUUCUUGGACAGCUCCUGCUUCAGGCUGCCGAGGUACCCGCUGUACCUCUUCAGCAGAUGCUGCCUCAGCUCCUGGCCUUCGCCGCGCGCGUCGAGAUCCCUCAGAUCGGUUUCUCCCCCGCUUCCGUCCUGGUCCUCCUCAGAAGAACACGCUCCGCAUUUAUCUAUCAUACAUACAUUAAAUAUCAGAUGCAGGAACUCAAGCUCAUUUCAGCAGAUACUUGCUAUGAUUAUAAACCUUAAAUUUGCUAUGAUCUACAGAAAUUAUACCCAUUAAACUUGAUUUGAUCCAAAGUAUAAAUCACAAACAUGGAACAUAUGUAGGUAAACUAGAUGAUGCAAGCUUUUCUUCAUUUUUUUUCCCAAUGUUUUACCAAUCUGAAGAUAUGUAGUACAUUGAUUCAAAAAGAAAGAUAUACAAAUUAGCAGCUAUAAAAUGCCAGAUAUAUAAAAAUCCAUCCUCAUGGAUUAUCAUAUAUAGACACAGAUUUUCAAAAAGUAAGGUAAUUGCAUAAAUUAUUAAAGCAAAUAAGUAAAAGGAAAAACAGGCGGUAAUGAAUUCUACCGGAUAUGAGAAAACAUAGGUCGUCAUUUACGUGUGUGUGUGUGUGUGUGUGUGUGUGUGUGUGUGCGUGUGUGAUGGUUCCAUGCUAUGUGUUUUGUAUAAUGUGUGGUUUUGCUUAUAUACUUUAUUUACAUACACUUAUAUAUAGAUGAUGACUACAACGAAAGCAUACUUCAUCGUAUAAAAUGAACAUUGCACUACAAUAUGGCAUGUGAUGAUAAUAUUAUUUCUGUACUUCUAGAAAUAAACAGAAGUAUGUACACAUUUCUCAUAACAACAAAAAUCAGAAAAGAAGAAAAAAUUGAAGACUACGAUAAUGGAGAUUAGCAUUUAAAUAAAUUCAAGAACAGUGGUACCAACAAUAAAAAGGUAGAAAAAUUGCAACAAUGUAGUGAAAAAUCUGGCUUUGGACCACGUAAUUAAAUUCGCAUUUACAGCGAAUGUGGGAUAGGGUCUACUAAACCUGGCACCUAUUCGCAUGAGAUAUCAUUCUAAGAAAAGUCACAACAAAUCUGUAUGCAAGGAGCAUGAGUAAAUUUAUUUUCAUAUAUAAUUUUUUUCGAAGUAAAUUUAUUAUCAUAUAUAAUUUUUCCUUUUUCCAAGUAAAUUAUCACAUACAUAUGUGACUAGAAAGAAAUUUUAUGCAGAUCUAUGACUAUGUGAUAGUAAAGCUAUCGUUGAUCAGCGCAAGAAGACACAGCAAAUCGAGCAUACGAUCAUUGCAUUAUGAACAAUUGCUCCUAACUAUUUAGUCCUCACAAAGAAGAGAUGACUCACAAUAACCAAACACGAACUACCCGUCGUGACAGAAAUGUAAGUUACUUUAACAUAAUAAUUAAAAUUGAUUAGUUAAUAUGACACAAGUAGUAAAAAAUGUUACAACGAUAAUGCUCGCAAUGAUUUAAAAUAUAGUCGGUUGAGCGUUUAUCUAACUUUAUCAUGCUCUUACUGGUUGAAGUUGUUAGAUAUGCUAACUAGAAAACUAGAUAAAACAUUGAGUUGAGUUUUUAUCUUUUAUUGUCUAACUCCUCUCGAUCACAUGGAAUCUGACCCCACAUCCUCAUGUUCUCUCUUAUAUGCUCUCUCAUAUUUUACUAGUGGUUUACAUAUAUACAAAUUGCCAAUAUACCAUAACAAGUGUACUGGAGAGAAUUGCUUGAACACCUAUCACACAAUAGAGUUUUUGUUGGAGAGAGUUGUCGGGCCCUAAACAAACAAACAAACAGGAAAAAAAAAAAAAAGAACUGCAAUGAAAUAACCAAAUUACAGAUUUUGAAGGAAAAUAUAAAUUUCGAAAACUAUCAGCUCGAAAUUGAUUUGACAGCGCGCAUGUGCCAACUUGCUUUUUUUUAGUGUCUUUAUCUUCGAAAGUUCAUUUCAUGAUACAAUCCAACUGCAGAUCAAAAUGACAAAAAGAUGGCACUAGAGGAGAAUAUUAAUUGUACAUUUUCAUGCUUGAAUAGUUCAAACUAUGAAUAAUAUAACAAAAAACAAAUGAAUGAAGUUACAUUAGAGAAUGUUCAGUCAAUUCUGAAUUCACAUAUUUCGAGUACUAAAAACAGAUUACCAAAAGAAAACUAAAAGUUGUACAAAAGAUUAAACAACGAACCCUACAAAAAGGCUAAUCCAUGGGUUAGUAGCUUAAAAGAAUUAAAAAUAUAUAUAUAUGAGUAGCUUAGGAUUAGGAGUAGACAAAUUAAGAGGAAAGAGAAGUUCCACAAGAUUAAAUAAUCAAGACCAAACAAGUAAAGAAUCUUUUAAGAAAAGUUCCGUUGAGUUACGCCAAAACUCCAUCCAAUGUGGACAAUUUCCCUCAAAAAAAAGAUUAAUCAAUUUUAAACCCCAGGUGGAACUGGGAUGUGUUAAAUAUAAAAAUACUUAGCCGAUGUGCACCUCACUUCGGCACCUUUUGACUUCCUUUAAUAUUAGCCCGAAGUAGUGUAUUCGGUCAAAUCCACACCACAAGAAAGUAGAGAUUUUACGGAGCUUGUGUUUCAUGAUUACCAAACAUACCCUUAAAUCUUGCUAAAAGUGCACCAAAGAAGAGUGAUUAGAGAAGCAUCCAAUGCUAGCUCUUUCCAUUGCCCAUUCCCCAGUUCAUGAGAGAGAGAGAGAAAGAGAGAGAGAGAGAGAGAGAGAGAGAGAGGGAGGAGGAAAUUGCAAUACAAUGUUGAUCAAAGGAUAUAAAUGUGAUACAACAUAUAUACAAUGAAAAGAUAUACAUGUGUGACAUAUAAAAUAAUAUAUUAUUACUAUUAUUUUAUUUUAUAUUUUGUAUACACACUAUAUGUCAAAGAUUUAAGGCCACGAGCCAAUUACUGCAGCGAUUAUUCUCGAGGCAUAGAAUUCUCACACACAAAAACUUUGGAACCCUAAAAAGAUUACCCAAAAUUGUCAGAACAAAAGGAGGUCUAGUUUUCACACACCAUUUACUAUACCCAUCCCCCCUUACUCUCUCAAAAAAUAUUCGCAUUUUCCCCAUUAAAACAUGUUGGAACAAAACAAAAUAAAAAAACUUCUACAAAUAUUAUCACUAAUAAAUAAAAUGGUAGGAGAUGAGACUGCAGUGAGGAACUGAGUAACUGUGCUACUAUACCCUCGUGAUAGGUCAAAAGAAACCCCCUCCUUUACCCCCUCCUCAUUACAUGAGCCUAUAUUAUAUAGCAAAUACUAAGAUAUGUAUAUAUAUAUACAACAUAUAUGUAUAUAUAAUAAAGAUAGUGGUGUGUGUGUGUGUGUAUAUAUAUAUAUAUAUAUAUAUAGAGAGAGAGAGAGAGAGAGAGAGAGAGAGACAGAGAGAGAGAGAGUUAAUGAUGGAGAAAUGAGAAGAACAAUUUUAUUCUGGUUUGCGUGACAGAAGGGGGUUCACCUCGUAACAAUGCAUGUGUACUUGGACUACUGACAUACGGCAGUAGCAGUACUCUUCUUCCUCCUCCUCCUCCUCGGCCUUGCACUGUUUACCAAACCCUAACUCACUCUCCCUAUCCCUCUCCUUCUCCUUUCCCUCAUGGGUAAGGUUGAUAAUAAUAAGAGCAAUAAUAAAACCCAAAAGAGAAAGGAAAAAGAAAAAAAAAAAAAGAGAGAGAGAAAAAGAGACCCACAUGCAACAUGUAUAUACUAUGCUUAGUGCUUCAAUGUAGGGUUAAUUAGGAAGUGAAAUGGUUCAAAGUUGAUUGAACCAUCAUGAGAGGCUCCCCUCUCCCCUUACCCUCACUAGUAAGGUUAAUUAAUAAGAGCAAAACCUAUUUAAAGAGAAGGGCCAAAAAAAAGACAUAAAUAAACUUUAUAAAAAAAAAAAACAGAGAAAGAAAAAGGCCCACAUGCAGCAUAUAGUUCUUACUAUGCUCAACAUUUCUUUGUAGGGUUUAGGGAGUGAAUUAAGGUUCAUUAAUAAGAGAGAGCCAUAAAAAGAGAAGGGAAAAAAGAAAGAAAGAAAGAAGGAGAAAGAAAAAGGCUCAUAUAUAUGCAACAUAUACUAUGUUGAAUAAUGUUUCUUUGUGGGGUAUAGGGAGUGAAAUGCAUGGUGUAUAUGUGUGUGUGUAUAUAUGUAUAGUUGUACCAGAAGAGAGGAUGCCACCGAGGGAGGAGCGGUUGGAGAGGGAGAGGGAGUUGAGUUGGGACUCCACCCUGCGAAGGAACUCCAUGGCCUCUUGUAAUGGCCUCGUUAGCUCCUCCCUAUACUUCACCAACAUCUCAUGAUACGCCUCCUAUUCAGAAGUAAAAAAGAAGAGGAUUAAUUAAUUUGCUGAUUAAGAAAUCUCUCUCUCUCUAAGUACAUAUGAGGUAGCUAAAAACCAUAUAUUAUAUAACUUGAUGAGAAGGCAUAAUAUGUAAACACUAGAAGAAGAACAAGAACAAGGAGGAGAUUUGCUAAGAACCACAAAAUACAAGCUCUAGCUAAAGAUAUAUAUAUAUAUAUAUAUAUAUAUAUAUAUAUAUAUAUAUAUAUAUAUAUAUAUAUAUAUACCCCCAUCCCAGUAUAAUUAUGAGUGGGAGUUGGAAUAAUUUUGUAGCUUCAGUACCGAAAUAAAUGUUGAUAUCUACGAUUUUUUCUAAGUCACGAGUUCAGUUCCGUAACAUCAAUAUAUAUGUAUAUAUACAUAUACAUAUAUGUGAAAAGCAUAGGUUUAUAGAUUGAUGUACACGUAUACAUGUGAUUAGUACUAGUAAACCCACCAUGAACUGGUCGAGCUCGGGCUCGGUGGGCGCGUCGAGAGAGCUCAGCGCGGCGCGUUGCCGCGCCUCCAAGUCCUGCGCCAGCGCCGAGAGCCGCGCCGCCACCUCCGGCGGAGCCCCCACCUGGAUCAGAAAUUAAGUCACUACUACUACUACUACUACUACGACUACUACUACUACCACUAUAAAUCAUCAUACGUACAAUUUAUUAAUGAUCAUUAAUUUGGACACACAAACUAACAAAGUAGUAAACAAGAGAAUUAAAGGGGGAAAAAAAAGUUACAAGAAACAAAACAUGCCUUUUGGCAGUCUAAGUAGGCAGCAAGAAGGGAUGAGUAGUGGGGGUGGGAGAUGAUCUUAGCCUUGAUGGCCUCCACAUCACCAUUAUUAGCAGGGAUCAUCACUUGAGAGGAAGAGCCCUCCUCGUUGGGUUUGGGUUCAAGGUGAGGAUGAUGAUUAUGAUUAUGAUUAUUAUGAUUAUUGUUAUUACUGCUACUGUUGUUGUUGUUGUUGUUGCUAUGAUGAUGGUUGUGGAAGGGGUGAUUAGAACAACUAGUAAAGGGAAUAAGGUGGUGGCCUCCACUACUACUACUACUCAAGUGAGGAGGAGGAGCAAGUUGAGGAUGUGGUGCUGGUGCAACCACUGCAGUGUUUGUUGUUGCAGUAGAAGCAGCAGCAGCAGUAGCAGUAGCAGUAGUAGUAGUAGUGGUGGAGUGUGAAGAGAAAGCAUACAUCAAUGAUCCCCAUGGAUUGUUACCACCUCCAAACUGCUGGGAAAUUUCCUCCAUUCCCUCUCUGCAACAACAACCCCCACACCCACACACACACACACACACACACACAAAAACUGAAGCUUUUUGGGAGGAGAGAAAGAAAAGGGAGGAGUAAAGGGUAGGGGGAGAGAGAAGCAAAAGAGAGGAGUGGAGCUCUCUCUAAGCUAUCAUUUGAUUAAGAGAGAGAGAGAGAGAGAGAGGGAGAGAGAGAGAGGGGAGGAAGAGGAAAGGAGAUAGGCUGGAUGCAACACACCUAGAGAGAGAGAGAGAGGGAGAGAGAGAAAGGGUGAGAGAGAGAGAGAGGAGGGGAAAAGGGUGUGUGGUGGCUUUCUUUUCCAAGUCAAAUCAAGGGGGAAGUGGCCAUGAAGUGGCGGUGGAGAAAUAAAAACCCAAAGACACAAAAGAUACGCAUGUAUAUGUAUGUACAAUAAAAAAAAUAAUAAUAAUAAUAUAAGAAUGCUGUUUAACCACUGUUAAAAAAAAACAUUCUUAAGCAUUCUAUGUAUCGUUUGAUUCGAAAAUAAGUAAAAAGUAAUUAUUUCAGAAAUAGAUAUAAAUUGAGGUAUAAAUAAGAUUAGAUCAAUUUUAUAUUUGGAUAAAAAUUAAGUUAUUCCUAGAAAUAAAAAAAAAUAACGUUUGGCUAGGUAAGAUAGUAUAAGAAAAAUAGUAGAUUUUUAUAAAUAAAAAAUAAUUAUAUUAUCCUCUUAUUAUAUUUGAAUUUAAAUUUUUAAAUUUAAAUUUUUAAAUUUAAAUUUUUAAAUUUAAAAUUUUAACUUUGAAAUUUCAAAANAAAUUCUACUUAAACUUAAAUUUAAUAAAAAGAAUUUAUUAAAAUAUUUAAAUAUAAUUUAUUAUAAAUUUUAUUAUAAUAUUUAUAUAUAAAUAAUAUGUAUUAAUAUAGUACAAUUAAUAAUUUUAUAAUAAAAAUAAUAUAUUAUAAUAUAUAACAUAUUAUAUUUAAAUAAUUUAGUUUUAAUUCAAUUUAUAAUUUUAAUUAAGUUUGAAAUUAAGUAUUGGAAUAACAUUAUUCCACCAAAAUGGUAAAAUAGCAAAUCCCUUGCUAUUCCGAGAUAACCAGGAAUAGCAAGGUUCGACUGGAAUAAAAUAUUCCAGCCAAAUUUCAUCCCGUUUGACGGAAUAGCGGGGUUUCGUUAUCCCUACUUAUCCCCCAACCAAACGGGUUACAUUAUACCCAAAAUCCACAUUUCAAAAAAUAUCUUUAGGCCAAUUUGCAUAAAAAAUCCAUUUAUUUUGGACUUUUCAAAACGGGCCACCUUUUUUGUUUUGGCAGAUUCAGCACCCGUUUUUUCAGCAAACUGACCAAAUCUUAUUACUUUUUUUCUUUCCUCUUUCUCUCCACUCUUCCGUUUCUGUCGUUUUUUUUUUUUUCUCGCCCAAAAAAAAAGAGGGCGAUCGGACCGUUCGGCCCUCCCUCUUCACCCUCCUUCUUCACCGUUGCCUCGCUCCUCACCUUCCUCUCCCACGCCUCUGCGACCUCUCGUCCUCUCCCGCCGCCGCCGCCGAAGCCCACCCCCGUUCGUCUCCGUCGCAGUCGCAGCCGAAGGCACCACGGCCAUGACGGCGCGCAGGCCCAUUUGGCGCUCGUCCCGUCGUUCUCCGUCGCGAGCCCUCGUACCGCCGCCGGCGGCGUCGUCAUCGCUAUCGACGCAAAAUUUCAGGCGGCGCGGCGGAGGAGACGGUGCAGAGUUCUGUCGCCGGCGGCUGUGAAGCGGAGCUACCGGAUUGGACGCCGGCGACGCCGUCGACGCGUCCAGGCCGUCGGCCUGCUGCACUCGCCAUCGCGCUGAGGCCAGCCGGACUCUGUCAGCUUGCGACUGUGGAGUUCGGACCGCGACGUCGAGCCGGGCUGCGGCGACGAUGCGCUUGAGGACAAAUACUAAUUAACAAUCAGAAACCUCGUCCGCGGCGGGGUGGAGCUGACUGACGCGGCUUGCUCCUGACGCGGGGCGCGCGCGCGUGCGGGGCGAUGUCGGCGGGGGGACCGGUGCACGCGCGGCGUGCGACAGGGGCACUGCGGGGCGGCGGCUGGCAUGCUUUUCUUGCUUUCUUUCUAUGUAAUGGCUCGACACCAUUAACAUUAAUGGUGUAAUUUCUGGUGUAAUGGUGUAAUGGUGCACCAUUGAGUGUAAUGGAUGCCUCAUUGCACAUAAAUUCGGUGAAUUGCCAUUCACCAUAUAAUGGGGGUGGGCUUGGCGACAGGCAAGGGGGACGACAAUGACGGCGAGGAGACGACGGUGGGCCCCGGUGGACGGGCUCAGCAAGGGGGAGUGAACCGAGGCGAUGGAGGUUACGAGGCGUGUCGGCAAAGGGGCGAGAACGAUGGGCUCGCGACGGCGACAGGCACCGGCGACGGAGACGACGGUAGGGGGUAGGGCUCGACGGCGAGCUGGCGAGGAGAGGAGGAGGGUCGCGGCGGAGCUGUCGCGUGCAAGAGAGGAGACGAUCGCGGGGAAUUCUCGACACUUGAGCUGACGGAAUGAGCUUGCUCCGCCCCUGCAAACUUCCCCAGGGUGACGACACGGCGGCGGGUUCGAGCUUGUUAGAGGAGGAGGAGAGAGGACGGGAGCUUCGCGGCGGUAUGAGCGAGGACGACGGGAGAUGUGAGGAGGGGCAUGAGGGAGGAGAAAGAAAAGAGGAUGAGAAGAGGAGGCGAAGACGACGGCUGGGGUGGCUCGGCUUGGGCUGGGGCGGUUGGGAGAGAGGAGAGGGUUCGGCUUGCGGCAGCCGGAGGGAGGGGCUAGCGGGGGCUCGAAAAAGAACAAGAAAAAAAAAAAAGAACGGAAAGAACAGAGGGAAAGAGAAAGAGGGGGGAAGAGGAAAAGUAUAAGGUAUUAUUUGGUCAGUUUAUGAAAAGAACACGAGCCGAGAAUCUGACAAAAACGUGAAAAAAAAGUGACCCGAUUUUGCAAGAAGCCAAAAUAAGUUGGAUUUUUAUUGCAAGAAGGCCAUAUCUUAUAUUAAACUUUCAUUAUAUAAAAACUAAUUCAUUAAAUAAUAAAUUUAUCACUUUUUAAUUAUUCAAUAUUUUAAAAGUUGAAUUUUAAAAAAUUAUUACCUUUAACAUAAAUUAUUUUUAUCUUACUUAGUAUAACGUUAGUAUGUAGUGCGAUUUUUUUAUUUGUCAAUACUUUCAAAUUGAUGCUAAACUAUAUUAGAAUAUUUUAAAAUAUUAUUAAAUAUAAAAAAUAUUUAAGAAAUAUUAUUUUUUGUAGUGGUAUAAUUAAUUGUGUUCUCUCAAACUUAGCUUAGCUACUGCAUAAAAAAAAAAAAAAAAAAAGAAAAAAAAAAAAAAAAAAAAAAAAAAAAAAAAAAAAAACUGAAGAAUAAUUGAGAGACAGAAUAGAGCUGUGGACAACAAGAGAGAGAGAGAGAGAGAGAGAGAGAGAGAGAGAGAGAGAGUGUGUAAUCAGAGGGGAACAACCAGUAACAUGUGAAAGAGAUGGAGAGAGAGAGAGAGAGAGAGAGAGAGAGAGAGAGAGAAUAUAUGUGGAAUUUACACUACUGGAACACACAGGUGUGGGCAGUGGAUGUGGGCUCGUGCCUCUCUGUGCGUCUGGUUCAUGGUUGGAUUCUACUAAUAUAUAUAUAUAUAAUUAUAUAUAUAUGUACAUACACACACUACGUAGAGAAAUUGUUGGAUGCACCAGGACUAUGCAUAGACCGAAUCUUAGAUAGCUCGAUCCAGCGAAUUUUUUUUUUGCAAGAAAGCCACAAUUUCUUUUUUUUUGAUUAAACAGAUAUGUACCCUAUUUUAAAAUAUAUUAUAAAGGCGCGGGACAAUUUAGUCCAUAACUGAUACUUAGUGUUAAAUAUAAAAAUGUUUAAACACUGUUUUUUAAUAAUUUAAGCUUUUAGAGUACAACAAUUGUUUCACAUGGUAUCAGAUCAGGAGGUCCUGAGUUCGAGUCACGUCUGGCUUCUAGCAUAUUAAUUUCCUCCCAUUUAAUUCAAGCCCACAUCAAGGGCUGAUUAAAAAGUUUCGAGCCCAGACAUGAGGAAAAAUGUUAAAUAUAAAAAUGUUUAAACACCGUUCUCUAAUAACUUAAGUUUUUAGAGUGCAACGGUUGUUUCACACUUAGCUCACUAAAAUAGUGCCAAAAAAACACGCAAAUAAACAGCGAAUAAGAAUUUAAAAAGCGUUGUGAGCAAAGAACAGUCUCAACUUCCUAGGACAUACUUUCGUAGCCCCAUUAUGCAAAGAACUCUUUUUUCCAAAUUUUUUGCUUUGGCUUAGAUGAUUGUUGAAAAUUCUCAUAUUCUGCUCAUUCUAUAGCUCCCAGCAAGCCGCUGUAAAAUAGAAAUCAAAAGUAGUUUUAGAUUGCCAUGAUAAUAUCAUCCUUACUCGAGUUGCUAUCUGUAUUUUAAUUUUGGCUAAAUUACAUAAAACCCUCCCGUCAAAAUCUGAAUUUUCACUUUUUCCCCUGUGAUUUAAAAACCUACACUUUGCCUCCUUGUAAAAUAAAAAAUGUUCAUAGAGGGUUACGAUAUGAACUGUGAUGAUAAAAUGACUAUUUUGCCCCUCACCAUGAUCACAGAAGAAAAAGUUGAGGACUUUAUAAACGGAAUCCUAAUGGAUUACUAAUGGCAGGGGGCGAAUUGAACAUUUUUCAUUUUACAAUGAGACAAAGUGUAGGGUUUUAAAUGAUAGGAGGGAAAGUGAAAAAUCGGAUUUUGACUGGGGGUUUAUGUAAUUUAGCCUUUAAUUUUAAGUUAGAAUUAAUAAUUUCGUUUUAAAAGAUUUGAAGUGGUAGUUCACAAUAGUUCAACAAUUAUUAGAAAAUUAUUAUCUCAGCACUUGAUUACAGAAUGCGCAUCCUUAAUCUUAUCAAAAUAAUAUUAAUAAGACUAAGGAGUAAAAGAUUAUCUCUAGCUACUAACCUUACUCCUAAAUAUAUACCAUUCUAAAUGAUAAACCAAUUACUCAGAUUGAUUUAUAAAACUAUUUAGAAUUUUUUAGUUUAAUGUCAUAUAGUGUAGCUAAAAAUAUAUAGUGCUGACAAUAUUAUAACAGUUAUAACUAUAUAUAUGUAUCUUGCUUGGUUGGAUAUGGUAGAAAAUACUAUAAUUAUAAAUAAUUUAUUUUAUUGCAUGCAAUUGAAUACUAUAUUUAUAAAUUUUAUUCCUUUAUAUUCCGGGCGGUGAGAUUACCCGUACGAUAGAAGAAAAAUAUUAUUUAAAGUAGAUCAUUUAGUUUACCUUAUGUUUAUAAUUUAAUCACUCUAUUCAUGCAGGUGUUGUGGUUUAGGCGUUUAUUAUAAUUAAUUUUUUUUGUACAGUUCCAACAUUAUAGCAGCUAGAUUUAAAUUUAUCAAAUUAAAUAGCAUAUAUGAAUUUACAUACAAUUAAAUCUGUAAGAUAGUUGUAAUUGAAUGUAACCAAAUGGCUUUUUAAUUUAUUAUUUUUACCUUUAUCUUAUUCUCACAUAAUAAAUUUUAAAUAUUAGUUAUCUAGAAUCUUUUAGACUAGAUGAACUUUUCUUUCUUUUCAUUUUAAGAUCUCUAAUUUGGAGUUCUAUAAAUACUAAUAUAUCCUAUCGGAUCGUAUAUAUUAACUAUUAACUCCAAAAUUUUAAACUGUCAGAAAUAUACAACCAAUUCACUUAUAAGCGUACAUAUACAACUCCCACAGCCCAACCAACCUCACGCCACUUCAAAUAUGACUCGAUCUAAUUCGAUCUUCCGUUGCUGGUCAGAAUGCUGGCCUUUGUAAGCCAACAUAUCUUAUUAAAAAAAUAUAAAAAAAGAAAAAAAAAAUGGUCUAUAUGUAGACUUGUUCCAUGCAAUAUAUAAUUUCUCAUACUACAAACCUUAAUAACAUGUAUACUCUUCUUUCUCUCUCUAAAAAAACUCUCCCCACUCAGACUCUCUUUCUCUCUCUUCUAUGAUCUUUGUGUCUCACUCUGACAAGACUUCCUGGCCCCUGCUGUUCCUCAUGCUGUUCUGUAUAACUUGGGGAAACGAGGGAUUAAUUAAUUAAUAAUUAAAUUAUUAUCAUACUCAAAAAAUAUAUAUAUAAUAUAUAUAAAAAAGAAGAUCAUUCCCUAGACGAAAUAUUCCAUAGCACGAUCGAUAUGCAUGCUUACGACAUCUAAUCCUGGCUUUUCCAAAUCUCUUCUUAUUAGUUUAUUAAUUAGAUGUGUUCUACGGACUUUUAGUAACAUUAUUAUUACUAUGUGUUUACUUCAUUAUUGUGAUUCAGAUGUUACAUAGUACAUUAGCCACCUUUUAAGUGUACUAAUUAUAGGAGAACUUUUACUAAUUAUAAUAAUUAUUAUUAUAGCAAAAGGUUGUACAUAUGUAGUUAUAUAUUGUCUAUCUAAAGUGGUUAGGAUACAAAUAGAUGAAUAUGAUAAGUGUCCCUUCAAAAAGUGUAAGCUCCAUACAAAUAUUUUUAAAAACAAAUUAAAGAGUAAGCUCCACAUGCAAGAUGAAGGGCCCAACAACUUGUUUUAGACAAUUCGGUUAGAAAUAUGAUAGUUUAGUUAACCUUUAAUUUUAGUAAAAUAUAAGACACACGCUAAUAAUUUGUUCAAAUAAACUGUUCAUCUGCGCAAUGAAAAAAUUAUUAACUUUCAUUUUUAAUGAAUGAUAGCAAGCUAAGCAACUAAAGACAUUUUAAUUCUACUUUUUUUUUUAAUAUAGGAAACUUUUGUUUAACUUUUUUCUUUUGGACAACCCCAGGAUUACUAGAAUACACUUUUAAGUUCCUGAAACUUAAAAACUAGAUGAUUUUUUGUUUUAGAGUAAUUCUAUAUGUAUUUCUAUAAAGUUUAAUUUAUUAAGAACAGGUUUAUUCCUCCAAAGUUUUCUAAUUAACUACAAUAUAUAUUCGUUUGAAACUUUGCAAUGUGUAAGUUUAUGGCUAUAGUUUGGGCAUUAGUUGACUGUUAAAUUUUAGUAUUUAGAAUUAUUAUGUCCUAGGAAAAAGAUAGUUUUCAUAAAAAGGUUUUGUGGUAGAAAAUAAUAUUUGAUAUUAAUUAAAUAUGAUUAAAAAGUACUUUUUAAGCGUGAAAUGAAUAUUUUGUCGAAUAAAAUUUAAUUUUAAUCAGUCAAUUAAGAGAGAAAUAUAUAUUUGCAAGUCUAGGUAACUUUAAGAAAAUAUUGACUACUUAAAUUCUAUAAAAAUUAAUAUAUAAUUUUAUUGAAGUGCAUGUAUAAUUGCCCCAUUUUUCAAAAAGAAAUGUUAUUGACAUACACCAAAGUGGAGUGUACAUUUUACACAUUUUUUAUUUUAGGAUCAUUAUUUUUUUCUUGUCACAUUAAUUAAUUUUUAUUUUUAUUAAAAAUUAUUUAGAUUUUUGUAAAUUCUAAAAUAAAAGAUGUAAGAUCUAUAGCUCUCACUUUGGAUGUAGAAGUAGGAUUUUCCUUUUUCAAAAAAAUAUAUAAUAAAAUUAUUUUUUUAAAAAUUAUAAUAAAAUUAAAUUUUUUUAAAAUAAUUUAAUUGGUUCAAAAUAUUAUUAUACUAAUAAUAUGACACUCAUAUUCCACAAUAUUUUGACGCUGUCAAACUACUAUUGGCCAGGGCUUGCUUGGUAUUAUGUUUUUUUUUUUUGGGUAUUCAAUUAAAUUAAAAAGGUUAAAUACACAUAGGGUGGUGUGAGUAAUUAAUGAGAUGGGAAAUAUGCUUGAUGGGGAGUCUAAUAAGUGUUGGGGAAUAAAGUUGCAAUGCUCAUCAUGAUGGGGAAGAACUAAAGUAUACUACGUUUUGAUGUGACACUUUGUCGAUAUUAGCAUUUUUUUAUAAUAAUUAAUUAGGUGAAUCUGAGAUCAAUCUACUCAGGCCAUUUAAAAUGUUUUUGUAAAACAAUAAAUUUGUAAUUGAGAUCUAAUUUCCACUAGAUUAUAAUAGGUUCGGGGAGUAAUUAAUUUCUAGAUUUAGCAAUUUUUAGAACCAACUGUUACCAUGUAUAUUAUAUACAAUACAUAUAUUAUUGGAAAAACUUCAAAAAUCCCAUGUGGUUUCGUAUUUUUUUAUUUUAGUACCCUAUGAUUUAAAGUGUAUCAAGUUAGUACCCCGUGGUUUCUCACUUUAUCACUUUAGUAUCCUGUGGUUUAAAGUGUAUCAAGUUAGUACUCUGUGGUUUAUUUCUGUAUCAAGUUAAUACUCUGUGGUUUUAUUUUUGUAUCAAGUUAGUAUCCUGUGGUUUUUAAACCACAGGAUGCUAAAGUGAUAAAGUGCGAAACCACAUGGUACUUACUUGAUACACUUUAAACCAUAGGGUAUUAAAGUGAAAAAGUGCAAAACCACAGAGUACUAACUUGAUACACUUUAAACCACAGGGUACUAAAGCGAGAAAAAGUAAAACCACAUGGGGGGUAUUUGAAGUUUCCUAUUUUAUAUAUAGAGUCUGACUACUAUACUUUUAUGAGUACGAUCACCCUCAUACUCAUAAGUUAUUUUCUAUGAUAGAGCUUCCGAAUCGACGAUUCAUACUGUUAAAUAUUAUCUAGAACAUUUAAAAUUUAUAGAAAUCAAAUUUUAUAAUUUAGCGAUAUCAUUUAUCUUACGAUCAAGAGUUCACAAAAUUAAUAAUUUUUAACGGCCGGUAUGGGAUACUUACUAGUUUAACGGUGUAAAAGAAUUGGAAUAAAUUGAAUUUUUAAUAGAAAAUUCUAUUCACUAACUAGAUAAAGAUCAAUAACUCCGAUCUUAAAUUGAAGGAUCCAAUCAUCCAGUUUUAGGAUGUCGUUCAAUUUUGACCAUUUAUUUUAUGCCCGCUUGAUAGACUUUAUUAUGAUUUCGAAAAAUUACGAAAUUUAUUUUCUAGAAAUUUCAAAUACUCUAAAUCAUAUUUAACGGAGUGGAUCGUUGAUUCGAUAAUUCUAUCAUCGAAAACAACUCAUGAGUACGAAGGACCCUACACUCAUAAGAGUAUAUAAUUACUUUCAUAUAUAUAUAUAUAUAUAUAUCAAUAUAAUAUAUAAUAUAUAUGAGUAUAUAUAUACUAGUAUGAUAUUAUAUAUAUUAUAUUUCUACUAUAUCUAUAAUAGUCGAAUAACCUUGGUAAAUUGAGUUUUCGGCCGUUGGAUGAAAAGAUGUGGCGGUUAGGAUGAUAGUGGUCCUGGUUAAAUUGAUAGUGUCCCCUAGGGUUGAUUGGGUGGUUGGUUUAAUAGUAUAAUCUAACGGGUGGAAUGAUCAAAGAGAGAUCUAACGGUGGAAAACUCAAUAGUACCAAGGGCUUGGUACUAUUGAUAGUAUAAUAGCCGGACUCUAUAUAUAAUAUAUAUAUAGUAUAAAUGAGCUCCUAUACUUUUAAAAGUACCAAGUCAUUGUGCCUUAGUUAAGUUUUUAGCCCUUGGAUAAUAGAUGUGACAGGUGUAUGGAUGAUGUGGGUCCCCUAGGAUUGAGUGGGUGGUUGGUUGAAUAGUAUAAUCUAACGGGUGAAAAUAAUCAAAGGCAUAGAUCUAACGGUAAAAAAUUCACAAGCACCAAGUGCUUGGUACUUUUACAAGCACCAUAGCCGGAUUCUAUAUAUAUAUAUAUUACCAUGUAUAUUUUAUGUUACUAUAUAUAUUACUUCUUUUGUUAGAAUUGUCAUAUUUCUAUACAUUUUUUAUUAUUUCUUUAUAUAACAAGAUAUAAUUAUGUUUUUCCAUAUAAAACCUUUUUCUCUCUUUCUAUAUAAGAGAAUGGAUUUAGAUGAAUAAAAAAUAUAGAAAAUUUCUCAUUCUCUUGUUCAUGGUAUUAGAGACCUUUUAGGAUUUUAUUUUCUUUUGUCGAUAAUAUUACUCCUCUCUUCAGACGGUGAAUUGUCCGUCAAAGAUCUGCACCACGUCGCACCACGCUUGAGGACAACAUGAUCCAGUUCAAGUGAUUAACUGGGGCCACGAUCAUCCUCAUCACGUUUGUGUGGCCGCGCAUCGUACCAGGACGUGUGUCUAAUCGAGCUGCUAGGAGUCAUCUGCACACGCCUAAGCCAAUUCAACCCUUUGGCUCGGCGAGCUUACUCUCUAGUAAACCACUUCUUCAAAUUUGUAUUCUAUUUUUUUUCUUUAUUUGUUUAGUUAUGAUAUUUUCUACCUAUCAAUUUUCACAACUAGUUGACAAAUUAUCUGGUUCUAAUUACUGAGAGUGGUCGAUGUCUGUACAACUUUUAUUUGAUGCUCUAGAUUUAACAUAUCAUAUUAUUGGCACUAAUUAAUCCUUCUUCUGAUGAGAAGAAACUCAAAAAGUGGAGUAUUGUUGACAGACAUACUCGUAAAUUACAUCCACGUCUGUGGAAAUUUACAUCAGAAUACAGUUGAUAAGUUUCUCUACGGCUCAACAAAUGUGGGCACAUCUUAAAAAACUGUAUGAGCAGUCUAGCCAUGUUCACUUAUAUGCUGAAUUUCAAAAGCUGACAUCGGUCCCUCAAGGUGAACACUCCAUUCAGGAGUUCUAUAACUUUAUGCACAGUGGCACCAACUAUUCAUUAAGGAAGAGUCACUGUCCCAGACUUGUUUGGCUUGGACUUAUGCUACCAAACAAACGCAAGUUCGUAAUCAAUAACGCCUUUUCCAAUUUAUUAUGUGUCUACGGCCGGAGUUCGAGGCCUUACGAUGUCAACUUCUUCGUUGAUCUUUACUACCCACCAUUGAUGCAGCAUUUGCAGAGCUUAUUGUAGAGAAAAGUCGUCUUUGAGUAUUGCACUCCUCCAGUCCUUUAACACCAACUGUACUUGCUACUUCCAAUUAAGUCCCUCCUACUCCAGUUGUUCCGUCAUUCGAGUCCUUGAAUUCUAUUGAUUUGUUUGGCCUUCGGAAGAACAAAUGCAAUAUUUUCAAAGCAAAUAUCACCAAUUCUGGUGACAUUCUAUUCAAAAUUGUAGGAAAAAAAAAAAAGUGGGCUGAUCAGCAUCGAAACUCUCCAUGUGGUUAUCUUGCAGCUGCUUCUACUUUGCAGUUUGAACUCUGCUAUUUGUUUAGUAAAAAAUAAAUGAAGCAAAAUUUGGGUGCGUGAGAAAGGAAGUAAUGUUUUUUUUUUCUCGCCUUUUUUUUUUUCAUAAUAUAUUGACUUUGGUCUAGGCUGGCUAGAAGUCAAUUACUUUAUUUUAGAGAGUGAGAUUCAACUGAAGGCAAAAUUAUGAGCCAAAUAAUAAAAGUGAAUAUUUAAUUACAGUCAAAAAUAACUUCACCCUUAAUUCUCCACUUUUGGCAAAACGAACACACCUGCUCCUAAAGAAAAAUUCUAAAAUGCAUUCGUUAUAUUAAUGACGUGACAUCUCCAAUCAAUCAAAUAAAUUCUUUUGCAUUUACCUAUCACAUCACGAUUAUAAAAAUAAUAUUUUUAUUAUACUUUUUUUCAAAAGAAAAGAUGUGAUAGACUUGUUAUUGCAGAUGUGAUACAAGUAUAACACAGUAGACUUCCUCCCUUCCAAAUUAACUUUCAUAAUUGCUUUAAUGCAGUCAUCAUAAUAAAAUUUGUUAGCUGCGCCAAGUUCAUCUACAUGUCCUCACUCCUUGAAUCCAUCAUAUCCCCCAACAAUUAUCCACCUGAAUUAUAAUUUUAAUUCAGCGUUCUGAUUUUUAAAUAUUUCCAACGUAAAAAACAUUGAAACUCAAUAGCUGAGAUGAUUAAAAUAUGAAAAAAGAUUAGCUCUACAUUGCAUGAACGUAUAGAUGCACCGGUGUAGAUUAGUAUAUGGUGUUGUAGUGUAUAACCACAGUAACAACAUUUACGCACCAUGCGUAGAUAAUAAUUUAAAGAGUUUUAAGUCUCUAACAUCAAAGCUUACAAGUUGGACGUAAAUAAAAUUAACUUGACCAAAACUAAGUUCAAGAACUAGCCAUGCAUUUUACACCAAAACAAAAACAAUUUAACGAGUUACAUAUAUGGAGUGAUAUACAUGCAAUUAAUGGCCACAUCUAACGUAGAAUUUAAACCAUGCAAACUACAUUAUAAAUAUACUCAAACAACUCAUCAGCUGAAAAGCUGAUGAACCUCACACACCAUUGAAAAAGACCAAUCACUUAGCCCAUAACACACUCCUAUUUAAUCUCGCGCUUACGCGGGCAUAUAUACAUGCAACUAGUACAUAUAUAUCUCAUACUUGUUUCCCACAAUCAUCAUAUAGAAGCUAAUAUUUACAGAUCAAUUACUGAUUCGUAAUCGACAAAGCUUUAAAAUAUGAUAAGUAGUACCUAUAAUAUAUUCACUACUUUUGGAGCAGCAUAAUCAAUAUAUAAGAUAAAGUUGCUCUGCACCUAUCAAAAAUUGUCGCUAUAUCUGAAUAUCAGCGCCUUCAUCGAUUGAUCGUAUACCCAGUUUGUUUCCAAGACACAGUAGUUUCUUAAAUAUGUAGUCAAAAAGCACAACCUGGGACACUAGAUAGUCUCAGUCCAUUAACAAUAUGGUGUUAGCAACUAUCUAAGUAUCUAAAGCUUAUGCAAGUAUACAAAUAAACUAUAUGAAAAGCUUAGUGAGAACAUCAAAACGGCACGCUAUAUGGAACUGAAAUACACUUAACACCAUAACAUAAAGACCCAAAAGUAGAAUUACAUGACCUCGAAAAGCCAUGCAACGGUAUGUAGAGCUUCAGCGCUUCUUGGUCACAUCUAUCGCCUGCGCGUUGCUCAUGAAAUGGCCGUGCAUGUAGAAUUCCGCUUGCAGGUGGUAAUUAUUACCGUCCCACGCGAUGAACUGCAUCUCCUCCAACGGCUUCCAAUGGCGCUUCCUCUGAUUAAUAAACCAGUUGUUGAUCUGCUUCUGAUCGAGGCCGGUCGACUGCGCUAGAGCCGCCUUCUCCAUUUCCUGUUAAAUCUUAUAUGAUGAGGUGUGAGUAACCAAGCAAUAUUCGUGCAAAUGAGAGAGCCCAUGAAAUAGAGGAUGUGAUGUUAAAGAAUCAGGUUUGUAAUUCCAAGCCAAGAGGUGGAGAUCAAGGGCCAAAGGAUGCCUCACAAGAAAACUAGGGAGUCGUAUGGGAACUAGAGCAUAUCAAGAGUUGGGUAGUUUAAAGGUUAUAACUUAAAAAAACAAAAUUAACCUUCGGAACUGGUUUGAAUCUGCAUGUAGUUACAACUGCAGUGCAGUUACAAUUACAUGUAGAUUCAAAUCCGUUAUUUUGUUUGAUAUAUUUAAAUCCAAUUGUUACAGUUGAAACUAUGCGAGGAGGCUCAAUUGCAGCAGUUUGAGGAACUUUUAACAAAAUAUAACCAUACCUCUAAUCACCUUUUAAGCAACAAAUAUUUUUCUAAAUUCUACAUUAAAGGUAAUUUUACCACCACUUAUAUAAAGUGAUGAAUUUUUGAAAAUGGACUUCUUAACUGCAAAAAACCAAACAAAUAAUUUAUAGUUACAACGUUUUCUACUACAUCCAACCAAACAAAAUGCAUAUAGCUGUAAAUAUUGUAUUUUCAAUUGCAUACAUAUCUAAACUAUACUGCAUUUCUAAUUACAUCCAACCAAACGGCCUCUUUGCACACGGUAGAUUUUUUUUUUUUUUUUGUAUAGAAUGCACAAGUUAUUGUCCACAUUACUAGAAAUCUCAGUAAUCUCAUUACUACAAAUAAAAUUUCUCUUGAUCUUUCAAUUCCUAGAAAUCUUAUACAACACGAUUCAAACGCUCCCGUAUUCAAAUGGUGAGUCGGCCCUCUAAGAUUUCAUCAUAAGACCUCUUACUGUGGAAACAUACCACAUGAAGCAACCGAUUUCACCAAGAUCUGAAGAUCCCGAGAUUCAUAGGUGCAUCUCUAACCACACUAGAUUAUGUUCAGCACUUCCCGCCACUUAAUGUGUAGUUAACCUUCAAAAUGUAUAUCUUUUCAAGAGGUAUAUGCCUACUACAACAUGUACUUUUGUUUGUGCAUUAUAGGGUGGAAAUGGUCAGGAUAAACUCCGAUCAAACCCGACACCGGAUUCUAUAGGAUGCGAAUAUGGUCGUCAAACUUUCGCAUUCGACACAUAUCCGUAUCCGGAAAAGAAAAAAAGGAUGCGGAUAUGAUUUUUUACAAAAUCUGACCGUAUUCGACCGUUUUCACCUCUAAGAGAUAAAGGGACGUUAAUAUAUAUUGUAUACGGGAAAAGUCAUUUUUCUAUUGUGUUUUUCAUUUAUUUUACUAUGAAUUUUAAAUAUAGGUAUACGAAGUUUGAACACGAAUGUGAACCUUCAACUGCAUUGUAUAUUUUAUUUGUGCUAUUUUUAGUUCAUAUUUAUAUAUGCAUAUUAGUAUAUAUUAUUAUCCGAAUAAUAUCUAAAUACAAAUCCGACUUAUAUCUGAAUCCGAAUCCGUUUUAAAAGGAUAGGAUAAUGAAAAUUUAGCAUCGGACAUAUAUUCGCAUCCGAAAAAAAAUAUGGAUGCGAGUAUGAUUUUGUCAAAAAUUCGACUGUAUUCGAUUGUUUUCACCCCUAGUGCUAUAUGUUAAUAUUGCUGCAGUUAGUGGAGAAUAGGGGUGGCAAUCCAGCUUGCUGUUUGCGAGCCGGCUCGUGUUUGGCUCGAAAUGAGCUCGAUAUUGAAUCGCUCGUUUAGUAAACGAGUCGAACACGAGCUGAAUUUUUCAGAGGUCAGCUCGCUUGUAUUCGGCUUGAUAACAGCUCGAAUACAUAUAUUUUAUAUUUAUAUAAUUUAUUUAAUUUAUAUUUAUAUAUAUAAAUAAAUAAUUAUAUAUAUAUAAUAUAUUUUUAUUAUUUAUAGCAAAAUAAAAAUAUAUAGGCGAGCUCAAUUAUAAAAAGACUCAUUUAUAUGUAAAGUUUUAACUAUUAAAUUAAAGUCUAAUGGAUAAGAUUUUAUAAAUUUAUUUUUUAUAUAUAUUCGAUCUAAUCCUUUUAACUUAUUAUUCGUUGGUCAGCUCGUGAGCCGGCUCAUGAACACGAGCUGAAUUUUUUAGCUCGAUACUUUAACGAGCCAGCUUGUGUUCGGUUCGUUUAUUAAACGAGCCGAACACGAGCCCGCUCUAGCUCGCUCGUGUUCAGCUCGUUUACACCCCUAGGGGAGAAGUAGGUGGAGAAUGAAAAUGCGGCACGUACAGAAGGAUAUGGCCAUGUGGAGUGAAUCUCCCACCAAGUUAGGAGCUUCUGGCGAGCUUCUUUCGGAAGCUUCCCUUUCUUCUUCUUCUUCGACAGCUCCUGCCGAAGGCUACUCAAGUACCCGCCGUACUUCUUAAGAAGAUGGCUUCUUAGCUCUCUAUCUUCGGCACGCGGGUCGAUCUCAGGAGCUCCCGUAUCAAUGCUGUUGCUUCUUUCUUCACCAUCAUCUUCAGAAGACAAAUAGAAAGAUAGUUAAUUUGAUAGGACAAAGCAUGCAUGGAUUUAGAGCAGCCCAGUAAUUUAAGUGCUUCGGCUUUGAAGCCUAAGGGUAUACGGGCAUAGAUAGAUUUGUCGGAUUGUUGGUCCUAUCCAUUAAUCCAAAAAACUCGAGCCGUUAAAAAUACACAACCAGUUCAUCUAAAGUGUACAGACACAACGCUCACGGAUUUCGACUGUGACUUAGUCCAACCAGCCUAACGCCACUUUAAACAUGACUCGGCUUAACCUAGCCUCACACAAUUUUGAACGUGACUCAGCUUAAUCUAGCCUCUCGCCAUAGCAUUUUAUCUCACUUUCUCACGCAAUGAAAGAUUUCCAAAGAAAAGUUGAAGCAGUAUAGCUUUUGGACAAAACCAAGGGCUCUUUCUAACCCAAAUUGUUUGAACUCUAAUAGAUACAUUUAAUUUCUAGACGCAGAGAUCAAUAUCAAUACCCUUGCUUAUAAACUCAAGUAUCUCCAACGAUCAAAGCAAUCAUGCAAUAGUAUACAUGCUAGUUCUCUUAGCAUCUUCGAUCCAUUUUGCAGUCAUUUAAUAUGAUUCAUACGAAGAUUAUAGAUUCAACAAUAUUUUAUUUACAAAAAAAAAUUUAAAAUGGUAGAUUUUAGUGGCUCAGAUCAUCGAAACAUGAGAUUCAUUGUUAUUUAAUUGGCAAUACUAAAGUACAAUGCAGCAAUUUCUUAGUAUUUAAUUUUUGAGUAGGUGAGGCUACAUAUAUAUAAAAAAGAAAUCAGCUUUUCCCAGUUUAAAUUAAUGAGCAAGCUAUAUUAAAGGGACAUUUUAGUAACCUAGUCUUUUUUAAAAACUUUAUUUUAAAAUUAGAUAUGUAAAAAUUUUAUUUGUAAAUAUAGUCUCCGUUGUAUUUGUAAGUGAUAAAAACGGUAAAUGGUUCACGGCAUUCAUCAAAUUUUUUUAUGAAGAGAGAAAGCGGUGAGUGAUUAGCCGAUUUUAAAAAGAAUAUACAAAGAAAGAAUGAGAGAGAAUGAAAGGAAAAAAAUAAUAAAAGCGGUAAAUGAUUCACCGCAUUUAAAAUAACUUUUAGUUUUAAGUAGAGUUAUGAAAGCGGUGAAUGAUUCACUGCAUUUAUAAAUCUAUUUUUAUAAUUAUUUUUUUUCAGAAGACUAUUUUUAUAAUUAUAAAUAUUGAUAGGAUUAUAUAUAAAAAAAAUUCAUAUUAAAGUCUAAAUUAAUGGAGCACUUUCUUAGUCUUUUGCAGUUGAAGGCUACAUAAAAAACUAAUGAGCCUUUGCCACGUUAAAUAAGCUAGCUAAAUCCAUUUCAUUUUUUCAGUAAAGGCCAAAUAAAAAAAAAUUUAAUCAUCUACAAAAUCAACCACUCAAAGUGCAUUAACAAAAAGGAGGUUGGUCUCAACUCUCAAAUCUCAACUUUUGGAUAUUGUUAGAUAUAUUUCGAAUUCUUGAACCAUAUGGUUUCGUAACUCUACUCUAUUUUGGUCAACUCAUUAAGUUAAAGUUUGAAUUAUACCUAGUCUUAUUGAGAUUCUUCCAGUUUUAUUGAAUUUUAGUUACUAAUAUAAAUAUAUUCUUUAUUUUUUUAAUUUGGUGUGACAGAUGAGAUAGAGUAGAGGAGUAUUUUGGGAGGAUUUUGUGAGAAAGGCAUUCUUUUGUAUUCCAUUAAUUUUAGUUAUAAUUAAAGUCUUCGUGCCGUCUUCACCCGUAGGCAUAGGCUAAUGACCGACUCACGUAAAUAUUUGUGUAUUUUAUUUUUUUCUCUCUUUUUCGAUUCUCUUUUGGUAUUUUCACAUCCGACAAACUAAAUCUUUUUUGCUUUUAUUGUAAGAGAUAUAAAUAUUUAAACCACUAUUCUCUAAUAGCUAAAGAUUUUGGAGAACAAUAACUGUAUUAUAUUAAUUAUUAAACUAGAUAUUAGAGCAUGAGGUCCUGAAUUUAAAUUUCAUCAGAUUUCUAGUCUCAUUUUAUUUCCUCCCAUUUAAAUUAAACCUAUGUCUUGGUAUAUAAAAAGUCUCAAUCUCAAACAUAAAAAAAAAAACAUUGAAUAUAUAUAUUAAAAACAUAAUUUUUUAAUAGAUUAAACUUUUGAAAAACAAUAAUUGUACUGCAUUAUUGAACUUCAACUAAUUAAGAGAUUGAGCUCACACCUCAUAAAUAAAAAAAUGGAUGGGAAUGGUUGUUGUAAAGCAAAAAAAACGCAGAUAAGACAAUUAUUUACUAAAAAUUAGUACAUAUUGUAAAUGGCCUGAUGUAACAUCACAUGCAUUGAUCUAUCACAGCUUGAAAAAGACCUCUUCCACUUUCUAGAACACUUAAAUUCGCAGUACCAUCAUAUUAUGAACCUCAAUAAGAUUAUUAGUCGAUAAUAAUGCAGUAAUAAAAUGCGAACAAGAGCAACUACAAAUAGUGCAGUAGAAUGCAUGUAUAUAUAUAUAUAUAUAUAUAUAUGGUAUAAUGUGUUAAGUUACCUGCGGAGAAUGAGCGAACGGGUUCAUCGGUGAGUGAGUUGAGCUGUGACUCGGCCCUUCUUAGGAACUCAGUUGCCUCGUUGAGUGGUCUGGUGAACUCUUCCUUAUAGUUCACAAGCAGUUGGUAAUACGCCUCCUAUAUACAUUCAUAUAUAUAUAUAUAUAUAUAUAUAUAUCACAAUCCCAAAACACACUUUACAAUCACUACUAUAUAUGUAAUGAGACAUUAUAAAUAGGUUUCAUUAGUUAAUUAAUUGCGUGCACCAUGAAUUGAUCAAGCUCUGGGUCUACGGGCGGCGGCGGCGACGGGGGUGGCGCAUCUGGAUGGCUCAGCAUAGCCCAAUGCCUCGCCGCAACAUCUCCGGCAGCGGCCGUGAGCUGCUCCACCGCUUCUGGCGGACAACCCACCUGUGAUCACAUUAAUAUAUAUAAUACAUAUUAUUGCGAGAAAAUUAACUCUACAUGCAAUAAACUAUGCAUCUAGUAUUUAUGUAGUGAUGAUAGGAUUUUUAUUUUUUAUUUUUUACAUUUAGUCUCCUCAAAAAUUCUUUUUUCACAAAUGGUCUCUGCAAGAUUAUAAUUGCAGGAACGAUCCUCUUCUUGUCCACGUAAGCGCCACACCGAACAGAAAGGGCUAGAGAGAUAUUGUAAGUUGAACACAGUAAUUUGUUUACCGUAUUCUACAACACGGCAAUCGAAUUACCGUAUAUAUGAUCUCUUUGCUAAGCCACAUAGAUUUUUGUCAAUGUUUUCAAAUUUUUGAGUCAAAGAGAACACGUAAGAGAAUUUAAUUACCGUAUUAUACAACAUAGAGUCUACUAUAUAGCAGUCACAACACAUCAUCUAUAUCUAGCCAAUCACAUCUCUCAUUUUAAGAGAAAAGUAUAAUACAAAUAUUUUUCUAAAAAUUAUGAUAGAAUAGGUGAAUUCCAGAGAAGCAAUUUAAUUGGUCGGGGACACAGCAUCAGUAAUAUGACUACUGUAUUCUAGACUUUUUCCCUCUAUACAGCGUGGCACUCGUAGCAUGCAUGGCACUCGCAUGGAUUAAGAAGAGACAAUAUCUACAAUUAUAAUUGAGUAAUGUUAUUUAUACACCCCAAAAAAACUUGUACAUUGUUCAUCCUAAUAAUUCAAUGAAUGAGAAUUUUUUUAACAUGUCAAUUUGUCAUACGAUAUGACUAGUAAAAUAAUCUCAUGCAUUGAAUGGAUAGGUGUAGGGUGUAUGAGUAGCGUUUCCCAUGCAGUAAACACAUACAUAAACUUCAAUAAAAGAAAAUCUAAUUUUACUACCUGAUUUAAGAAGAAAAAUAAUUCUAUUGAACUUAUUAAUUUUGUUAAAAAAAUAUAUAUACAUAUAUUUAUAGAAUAUUUUAUCAAACAAAAUAAAUACUUUGUUAUGUUACAAAUUAAAUACCCUGUCAAAAAGAAGCUAUAUAUGCCAUUAUUUCUGAUCGGAAACACCUGAGUCAAAAAUACCAUAACCUUCAUUUUAUAGCAGAUCAAAUAUCUAAUUCAAACUACAACAAAGUUAAAGUUCCUUUUUCUUUUUCUUUUUUUUGGUGAGAAAAAAAAAACAAAAAGUUUACCUUUAUUUUUUUUUUAGUAUAAACGGCCCGGAGGAUCGAAAUAGACAUUCCCCCCAAAAAUAGAAUAAGUAAAACAAUAUAGAACUUGUAAAAGAGCUCAAAAGUAGAUUAAUUACUGCCCCACCAUAAUUCAUAUACAUAUAUAAUACUAUACAAUAAUAGAAUAAAAUAUACAUAAGUAUAAUAUGAACAAGGCUAGCUAGGUACUAUAUAUAUAUAUAUAUAUAGUAUCUAUAAUACGAAGCACACCGAUAUUAUAGUCUCGUUUUCGAUCAUAAGUUGUUCAAAUUAACAAUCUGUACCGCUAAAUAUGAUUUAGGGUACUACAUGAAGUUUUUAGGAAUAAAAUUUUAAUUUUUUUCUAUAUCGUUUGCUUAAUAACUAAAUUAUGUUUAAACAGUAAAAUUUGAACAAUUUUUAAAAUUUGAGAAAAAAAAACUUUUGCAUUCAAGAUCAAGGAUUCUGAUCUUGAUCUAGAUAGUUUAAAGUAUUUUUUAUCAAAAUUUGAAUAAAUUUAGAUUCUUCUACACCGUUAAACUACAUACUUGCUAUUAUAGGUAGUCAUUAAAAAUUGAUAAUUUUAAAAUGGUUUGAUCAUAAAAUAUACCAUGUCGAAAAAAUAUAAAAUUCUAUUCUUAUAAACUUAAAAUACCUUAAAUCAGUUUUAACGGAACGGAUCGUUGAUUUGAACACUCUAAGAUUGAAAUUAAAACUAUAGUAGAGAUAUAGUAGCUGGACUCAGUAUAAUAUAACAAUAAACAAUAACAAGAGCAGCAGCAACAAGUAAUAACAAGGGAGGAGGAGGAGGAGGAGGAGGGAGGUGUUGUACGUGCCUUUUUGCAAUCUAAGUACGCAGCAACGAGAUUUGUAUACUGGGGGUGGGAGAUGAUCCUGGCCUUGAGAGAAUCGCCAUUAAUGGAGGAUUGAGACAAGUGCUUGGUGCUUUGGUGGUUGAGGAAGGGGUGGGCAUAGAGAGAGGAGGAGUGACUGGUAGUAAUAGUAGGGGAGGGUGGUGCAACUAACACAAGUGAACUUGUUAUACAUGUGUUUGAUGAUCUUGGGUGCAGGCCUUCUCCUCUAACUUGGUAAAGUUGCUCAUCCAUUUUAUGUUACAAGAGAUUUGUGGGUUAAUAAAGGUAGGGUUUUGGGAAAGGGAAAGAGGAGAAGAGGAGUAGAAGAUGAAGAAGAAGAUGAAGAUGAGUGGGAAGUGUAAUAAUUCAUUGUUGUUGUUGUUGUUGUUGUUGUUGUUGUUGUUGAUGAUGAUGAUGAUGAUGAUGUUAAUGAUGGAGUUGGUGAGAGAAGGAAAGAUGAGAUGAGACUAUAGCAAUUCUAUACCACUAAAAUCAACAAAAAGGAAACCACACCCGAAAUCUACUUAUCACACUUGUCACACUUACACGAUAUUAUUAAUAAUAAGUCAAUCAUAUUUUUUUCGCUCAGAAAAACAACAAUAGAAUUAUUUUCUAUAAUCAUGAUAGGAUAAAUAAAUUCAAAAAAUUUAUUUAAUUAGUUGGGAAUACCACGUCAUUAAUUUAACUGAUACAUUCUAAAAUUUUUCAUCUCAGGAAGAGAGAGAGAGAGAGAGAGAAAGGGAGGAGAAAGUAGGGAUGUUGGUGGAUACAGAUAUUCAAAAUUUUAUCUGAAUUCGAAUCCGGACGGAGUGAUUUUAUCCGAUGCUAAAUGGAUGGAAUUUUGGAUAUGAAUAUCAGGAUGAAAACCCGACAGAUUUAGAUUCAGAUACGAAUUUUGAUUGUACUGACUCGAACCCGAUCCAAACUCAAAUGUUUUUUUUUUUUUAAUUAGAUUUAAUAUUUUUAUAUUAUAAAAUAUUGUAAAGAAAAAUAAUUGUUUCAAGUUCGAGUUCUGGCUUGGAUUUUGAAUUUUUGGUCGGGUUCGAAUUUUAAUAUAAAAUUUUUAGGGUUAAUUUCAUUCAGGUUCCUACAAAUAUAGUGAACAACAAAUAUAUAUCUAAAAAGUUUAAUUUUUAUAUAUUGUCUCUACAAAAGUUCUAAUGUUUUCAAAUAUAAUUUUCUGAUUUGUUACUAUUAGAGAAUUGUUAGAGAACUGUUUAUAUUUUCAAUUUUGUCAUUACAAAUAUGUCCCUAAAACAAACAUAACAAUAUAACAUAAGAAGAUAAAAAUAUCAAAAACUAAUCGGAAUAAAAUAUUUAACCUAUGGUUGAUUAAAAUUUUUCUAACGAAUUCUAACGACAGGAAAAUAUUUAAAAAUAUCAGAAUUUUUAUAGUAACAACAUAUGACAGUUGAACUUUGUAUGAAUAUUUUUGUCAUUUACUAUAUUUAUAGAGAUCUGUAUAAAAUUAAUCCAAUUUUUUCAAUUUGUCGGACUCAAAUUCGAAUUCGGAUUUCGAAUUUGGUAGUGGGUUCGAAUUCGAAUUUUUGCAAAUCCGUCUAGAAUCCGAGCCGUCGACAUCACGAGGAGAAAGGAGUUUGGUGGCCAUCUUUUCGAACGUCAAAUCGAGUAAAUUAGAGGAGAGCAGCAUGUGGGUGUAGUGGUGGUCUCGUGGAGGAACUGUACAUGCAACUCCAAAGCCAACAACAACUUUAUAUGCUUUUGUAUUGUUCACAAACUAGAGAUCUUUGUUUAGAAUGAGUAAUCCUGUUUGUACUGGAGAUGUCAAGAGUAUAUAUAUAUAUAGAGUCCGAUUACUAUGCUAUUAAUAGCACGAAGCACUUGGUGCUAUCAAGUUUUUCGCCGUUAGAUCUACCCUUUUGAUCAUUUUCAUCCGUUAGAUCAUACUAUUCAACCAACCAUCCACUCAACCCUAGAGGGCCCACAUCAUUCUAACCGCACAUCUCUCAAUCCAAUGGCCAAAAACUUGAUAGCACCAAUGACUUAGUGUUAUUAAUAGCAUAGUAGCCUAGUUCUAUAUAUAGAGCCCGGCUACUAUGCUAUUAAUAGUACGAAGCACUUGGUGCUACCAAAUUUUCCGCCGUUAGAUCUACCAUUUUGAUUAUUUUCAUCCGUUAGAUCAUUUUCAUAUAUAUAUACAAAAUUUUAUCCGAAUUCGAAUCUGAAUAGAGAGAAUUUUGUCAAUGCUAAGAAUCCGUCUGUUCAAUGUAAAAUCAUAGAAUAAUUUUUUGUAUAUUUUAUAGUAUUUAGUUUGUAGGGAAAAAAAAUAAGUUUCAUCAAUUUGUUUGGUUGAAAAGAAAAAGAUUAUAUUUACUUAAUUCGGUAAAAAAAAAAUGAAUAAAAAAAGUUUCACACAACUUAAGUUUUCGUUUUCAGCCGAAAACCGGCAGAAAACGAAAAGUUUUUUUUUUUAUUUUUCAAAUCUGUUAAAAAUAUUUUUAUGUUAAACCAAACUAAUGGAAAAAUAUUUUUCAUAUCGAAAAUAAUUUUUCGAUUUGUUUUACACCUAUAGUGAUGCUCGCAGUGGCCAUGUUCCCCCUCAACUUUUAUAAAUUUUAAUUUUAGGUUGUGGGAUAUGGGGGGAUGGUGUUGAUUUUUUUUAAUAAAACUUGUGUUCAAAUUUUUUUCCGGACCCUCGGUCUUUUUCCUUCAGCUCUUAUAGUCUUGCUCUUUUUUAAACAUAUUAUCGUUACUGUUACUAGCAAUAAAUAUAUAAUAAGUCUGACAAAUUCUUUUCCUUACUAUCCGAGAUUGAAUUUUUUUCUGCUAAAAACCUAAUCUUGCCCCCUCAUGAAUAUUAAUUUCUGGCUUCAUCCUUGGCUCGAACCAAACGCUAACUAAUGCUAUUUGCACUGAGGAUGUCGAUGGGUAUACAAAUCCAAUAUUUUAUUCGAAUUCGAAUUUGAGUUAUGAUGCUAUACAGAUAUAGUUUUGAAUAUGAAUAUCUCAUCAGUACCUGUAUACUAAAGGGCACCUGUGGAUGCCAGUUGGCACCCUUUGGGUGCUUUUUCUUUUUCCUUUUACUUUUUCUGCCUUAUUUAUUCUUUUAUUCUUUUUCCUUUUAUAUAUUACUUUAUAUAUUUUUUCUUUUUCCUUAAUUACUGUGAUUUAAUAAAAUAUUUUUUAUUAAUAAGACUAUACAUAUAUCAAACUAAUAAAUUUAAUAUAACAAUUUAUAUUUAACAAGAACUGCCUUAAUAUGAUGUGAUAAUCAAAUCUUUAGAUACAACUAACUUGAUAUGAUACGAUAACUCAAUAUUUAAUAAUAAUUGAUUUGAAAUGACAACUCCAUAUUAAGGCAGUUCUUGUUAAAUAUAAAUUGUUAUAUUAAAUUUAUUAGUUUGAUAUAUGUAUAGUCUUAUUAAUAAAAAAUAUUUUAUUAAANUGAUAUCUUCAACUAAUUAUAUUUGGCCAUAGAUUUCAUUAUUUUGUUAUGAUUUUGAGAAAAAUAUUUUUAUUGUAUUUUUCUUUCAAAAGAGAGAAAUGUGAUUGGGCUGCACAUAAAUGAUGUAGUGUAGCUAUCGACAUAUUAUAUUUCCUCUAAUAGAUAAGGCUAUUAGUACAUUUUGCCUAUCAUUAUUAUUAAUAAUUUUUAAUAUAUCAAUAAAUUAGAUAUGACAAUUAAGUAUGUAAUUUCAACCGACCCAAAAUAAUAAAUUGCACGUAUAAAUCUUACACCUUAGAUCUAAGAAUUUACAAAAUUUUAUUAGUUUUUUGGUAAAAUAUUAGUAAGUUAAUCCUUUGUUUGCAACACCAUUUUUGUUCCCUUAAAAAAACUUUUUAUAAGAAAUGGUUUGUCAUAAAUGAAAAUACUGAUUUUUUUUAAUAAAAUCUUAAAAACAUCAGAAAAAAAUAAGUUUAUUUAGAAACCAAACGAGCGAAAAUUAGUUUUUCAAUCAGAAAACUAUUUUAUGUGAUAUUUUUAGAUACCAAAUAUUUUAUAACUAAAUUUUAUUGAAAGUUUAGAGUCUUUAACCUGGAAAUAAAAUAUUUGGGAAUCAAAUUAAAAUAGAUUUGACUUAGAAAGAUAGGGAACUUUCAGUGCAAUUUGUCCAAUUUAGAUGGGGAACCUACUUUAUAUUAAUAUUCUGUUAAAUAAAAAUAUCUCUAAUUUGAGAAGAAAAAAUAUUAUUUCAUUUAUAUUAAGGAUAAUUAUCUAUAUACCAUUUAAAACUUCUAUAUUAUCUUAUAUAUUCCUACAAUUUUUCCCUUCAAAUAUAUUUCUCGUUUAUAUCUCCGUUAUUCAAAUAUAAUUUCGCUGUUAGUACCCGUUAAGUUAUAUCAGGUUAAAUCCGAAUUAAAUUUCUGCAAAAAAAGUCAAAAUAUCUCUUUUGUCCCUAACUUAAAAAGUAAAUAAAAAAAAGUUGAUGAUUAUAAAAGUAUAUAUUUGAAAAGGCGGAAAGUAAAUUCUUGUUUUGUUCCUAACUUAAGUAUAAAUAAAAAAGUUGAUAACAGUAGAAUACUACUAUAUUUUAAAAAAAAUUUCACAUAAGUAAUUGUGACGCCCCAACUUCCCAGGGGGUCACCCAUCCUAGGACUACUCCCGUCCUAGCACGCUUAACUCUCUUAACCUCUUGGGACUUGCCACCACCCAAAAUGCUUAAGCCGGGUUAAGAGUUUAGCCCUAUUAUAUCUCAUAUAUAGGACUAUCUGGGGUCUCACAGUAAUAGUUAUUUCUAGCAGUUCACUAACAAAAUCUAAUUUUAGAAGUAUAUUUGAAAAACUUUGAAAUGUUAAUUUCUUUUUUAUAUAUUAGCUUUCUAAGCUAGCAAGUAAAUAAAAAGUCUUAGUUUUUCAAAAGCAUACAAUUAAUUGUCCCAUUACAUUAAAUUUUUAAUUUUUUAUAAAGUAUAAUUGUUUUGUAUAAUUUUUAUACAUUUAUACAGAUCUAAACUUUUUAAUUUGAAAAACAGUUAUUAUUUUCUAUAAUUUUACACACAUUCAAAUCAACCUGAAUUUCUAAAUUUUGAAAAAGUCAAGAAUAUACCAGUUAAUUAUAUACUAUUUACGUAGCAUCCUAACGAAUAGAAUUGUCUCUCUUGAAUUCAUCGGUCCCAUCGUAAUUGAUAAAAAUAUGAUUAAUUUGUUACUGACUAGGUAUCACGGCCAAUGACACGGGACACGAUACCACUCGGACAUUGCGAUUCAAUAGCUUUUUAAAAAUUAGAAUAUGAACACAGUAUGAACACUACUAAUAAAAUAUAAUAUUAUUAAUAUAAUAAUAUAUUUUUAUUAUAUAUAAAAUAUUAAUUUUAAUAAAAUAUUAUUUUAUUUUUCACGAAUGAAAGUUAGUAAAAUUUCAUUGAUAAUACAUAUAUUUUAGGAAAUAAAAUUUUCUAUCAUACAUAAUUUAUUUAUGGAAAAAUUUCAAAUACUAUCCCUGUGGUUUCACAUUUCUCACUUUAGUACCAUGUGGUUUAAAGUGUAUCAAUUUAAUUAGUGUCAUGUGGUUUACUUUUUAUCUUUUUAUUAUUGAUUCCCUUAAUAUUUUUCAUUAAAUUAGUGGCAAAGUUAAAGUUAAAGCUAAGGUUGUUAAAGUAAAUAUUCGAUAAACUUAGGUGAGGCGUCUGAAAUUUUUUGUAUAUAAUUUAAUAAAAUAUUAAUGAAAAAGCUGGCGAAAAGAUAAAAAUAAAAUCACAUGACACUAACUUUGAUACACUUUAAACCACAAGGUAUUAAAGUGAGAAAGUACGAAACCACAGUGGUGGUAUUUGAAGUUUACCCUUUAUUUAUAUUGGUAAAAAAAAUUAUAUACAUUCAUAAAAAAACUAAAAUAUUUAUCAUCUUACAUUAUAUAUACAUAAAAAAAGUAAAAUAAAAAUAUGUAUAAUUUUUUUUUAAUUGUAUGCGCUAUGAAUCGACAUUAAACGCACAUUCAAGAAGUGUUCAUAUUUUUUUAGAAAAAAAGAUAGAUAGCAUGCUACCCGCUUUGUUUAUUUAAUUUAGAAAUAAACUUAACUAGAAAUGUAAAUCAACUAGAAUUCGAACUUGAAACCUUAGAUACCAACGACCAAAUCCUUUGCCACUUGCGCUAGGGAUGGUCGAUAAGUAUCCAUAUUGAAUAUGUAUUCGACAUAGACACGAACGUGUCUCACAUAAUUAAACACAUGGUACUUAUAAAAAUAAGGUUAAUUGCAUACACGUUCCUGCAAACAUAGUGAAUUACAGAUAUAUUUCUGCAAAGCUCAAUUUGUAUAAGUUAUCCCUUCAAAAGCCCUAAUGUUUUCAGAUAUGUCCUUACCGCUUGUUUCCGUUAGAAAAAUUUUGUUAACUACAGUUAAAAUACUUAACCAUGAUUAAUUAAUAAGUGAAAUGAUAAUUUUACCCUCUUCUUCUUCUCUCCCUCUUUCUCUUCCCUCUUCUUCGUCACCGGCGAGGGAGGAGAUAUGGCGGCGGCGGCAAACCCUUUUCCCUCUCCUCUUCCUCUUCCCUCUUCCUCUCCCCCAUCUUCUUCCUCUCUCUCUUCCUCUUCCCUCUUCUUCGUCGUCGGCGAGGGAGACGAUAAGGUGGCAGCGGCGAACCCUCUCCUCUCUCCCUCUCCCUCUCCGGCCCUCUCCUUCUUCCUUUUUCCCCUUCUUCUUCCUCUUCCUCUUUCUCUUCCAUCUUCUUCGUCGCCGGCGAACCCGACCCCGACCUCGCCGAAGCGCCGCCGCUGCCGUCCGCUCCCGCGGCCCGAAGAUGAAGAGAAAAAGAAAAUGGGAGUACUUUUGGAGAGACAAUUUGUGAGGGUAAAAAAGUUAUUUUACGAGUAUACUUUUAAAAAAUUAACAGUUCUCUAAUAGAUUCUAACCAGAGGAAUAUAUUUGAAUACAUUAGGACUUUUGCAGAUGCAAAUUAUGAAAGUUGAGCUUUGCAGAAAUAUAUCUGUAAUUCACCAUAUUUACAGAAACAUGUAUACAAUUAAUCUAUAAAAAUAUUUAUAAUAUACAAAUUACUGAUAAUGUGAUGUAAAUACGGCACAACAGAUUUUUUUUUUUUUUUUUCCU
rnacentral:lncRNA from 1 species